rnacentral:rRNA from 1 species
UAGUGAGUUUGAUCCUGGCUCAGAACGAACGCUGGCGGCAUGCCUAACACAUGCAAGUCGAACGAGACCUUCGGGUCUAGUGGCGCACGGGUGCGUAACGCGUGGGAACCUGCCUUGAGGUUCGGAAUAACUCAGAGAAAUUUGAGCUAAUACCGGAUGAUGUCUUCGGACCAAAGAUUUAUCGCCUUUAGAUGGGCCCGCGUUGGAUUAGCUAGUUGGUGGGGGUAAAGGCCUACCAAGGCGACGAUCCAUAGCU